rnacentral:rRNA from 1 species
CCUACGGGCGGCUGCAGUGGGGAAUAUUGCACAAUGGGCGCAAGCCUGAUGCAGCCAUGCCGCGUGUGUGAAGAAGGCCUUCGGGUUGUAAAGCACUUUCAGCGGGGAGGAAGGCGGUGAGGUUAAUAACCUCAUCGAUUGACGUUACCCGCAGAAGAAGCACCGGCUAACUCCGUGCCAGCAGCCGCGGUAAUACGGAGGGUGCAAGCGUUAAUCGGAAUUACUGGGCGUAAAGCGCACGCAGGCGGUCUGUCAAGUCGGAUGUGAAAUCCCCGGGCUCAACCUGGGAACUGCAUUCGAAACUGGCAGGCUAGAGUCUUGUAGAGGGGGGUAGAAUUCCAGGUGUAGCGGUGAAAUGCGUAGAGAUCUGGAGGAAUACCGGUGGCGAAGGCGGCCCCCUGGACAAAGACUGACGCUCAGGUGCGAAAGCGUGGGGAGCGAACAGGAUUAGAUACCCGUGUAGUC